rnacentral:rRNA from 1 species
GAUGAACGCUGGCGGCGUGCCUAAUACAUGCAAGUCGAGCGAACAGACGAGGAUCUUGCUCCUCUGACGUUAGCGGCGGACGGGUGAGUAACACGUGGAUAAACUAUCUAUAAGACUGGGAGAACUUCGGGAAACCGGAGCUAAUACCGGAUAAUAUAUUGAUCCGUAUGGUUCAAUAGUGAAAGACGGUUUUGCUGUCACUGAUAGAUGGAUCCGCGCCGCAUUAGCUAGUUGGUAAGGUGACGGCUUACCAAGGCGACGAUGCGCAGACGACCUGAGAGGGUGAUAGGCCAAACUGGAACUGAGACAAGGUCCAGACUCCUACGGGAGGCAGCAGUAGGGAAUCUUACGCAAUGGGAUAGAGCCUGACGGGACAACGCCGCGUGAGUUAUGAAGGUCUUCGGCUCUUAAAACUCUGUUAUUAGGGAAGAACAAAUGUGUAAGUAACUAUGCACGUCUUGACGGUACCUAAUCAGAAAGCCACGGCUAACUACGUG